rnacentral:lncRNA from 1 species
CUUCUUUUACAAAAGUAUCACCAUCUCAUUGUUCCCCAUUGUUUGGUCCGAAAAGAUAACAGUAGAAGCAAAAUGCAACAUUUUUACUUAUACUAUAUUCUAACCAAUCAGGACAUUCAUUGAACCAAGCAGGAAUGAAUCACCUUGAUUUUUUACAUGGAAACACAUGACUCCGAGGUUGACACGAACCUCUCUGCAAGUAUACUCUUCUUAUUUGAUCUCGCAGAUUAACAUUAUAAUCCAAUAUUGGAGUUCUUAAUCCAGGAUCUGUGGGAAGUUGUGUAACAUCAGUAUGCUCAAUACUUGCUUUCUUUACCUCAUCAUUUUCUUGAUAAUUAGUGUCAUCAAUACUUGCUUCCUUUGCUUCACCGUUUUCUCCAACAGUAGCAUCCUUACCACUGGCUUCCUUUGCCUCGACAUUUUCUUCAAUAGAAAUUUCCUCAAUGCGUUGUUUCUUUGCCUCAACAUUUUCCUCGGUAGAUAUUUGAGAUACCCUUUUAAAAUAUCUCAACAUAUCUUCCUAUCUUACAAGCCAAACAAAGCUUGCAUAAAUAUACCAACAGUGAAAUGAAAGUUAAGAGAUGAACUCCGAAUCUAAAAUUGAUGAACUAAAAUGACCUUGAUCUCAAUGUUUCUCGAGUAUUAUAAAUGAAAUACAAAUACUCAAAUUGAUACUUGGAUAUCAAAUAUAAACAACUAAAACCCAAGAGGCCUAUAUCCUAAUGUAAUUUUUUUUUUACAGGUUCCGAUAAAAUUACAUAAAAUGGGUAACAAUCAACAUUUGAGAAUCCAAGUCCAACAACUGAGCCACUACAAUCCAAAUUCAACACAUUUUCAAUUUCGCCCCUGAUCCAAAUUCCAAGACAGGAAACUCAGGAAGUAAUUAAGUAAAUAUAAGUUAUCUAACAAUUUACAAUUCAAGACAUUUUCAAUUCAUAUUGCUAAAAUAUCAAUUCAUUUCAUUCACCGUCACUGAUUCACGGCUGCUAGCUUCAUAUAUCUUUUUAAUCCGACCACAAUAUCUAAACUUGCUAUUUGCAUAAAUAACUAUCAAAAACAUAAAUAAUAAGAUUAAGACCGAGAAAUUGAUUACCAAGUUUUGUUUCUUCAAUCUAUUCGCUCCGUCAGUCCUCCGUCACACUGGCACACUCUCACUACCUCUCACUGGUUUUGGUCCAUAGGGUUUGGGAAUUAUGGACCUUAUUUUCAAUGUUAAAAACUUAUAGAUUGUUGGGCUUGGGUUAAAAAUCAUUGACUUCUAUUAAUCUAUUAUAUAGGCCUUUUUGAAUGUCAAAAAAAUUUAGGGUCCAGUGGGGGUAAUAGGUCCGCCCCUGAUGAUAUAUAAUUAGCAAAAGCACGAUGCAAUUGAUAUUAAAUUUUGCCAACAGUAUGUUUACUUAGUUUCUCACAACUUAUGUCUAUUGCAUGUUCAUGGUUGCAAUACAUGUGGCGAUGGAUUUCGUACGGCCAAGGAAACUCCUUACAAGAUAAAGGUCAAUCCAGUGGUGCCAGUAGCAAACGUGAAUCAAGAUGCAAUUGUUUGGGGACAUCUAAUCCUAAGCACACAAUUGAUGAAAGGAGAUACAAAAGAAGAGGACGUGGAGAUAUUCCUCAAAAUAACCAUCUGAAAGGAAAAAGGAGAUAAGAAAGAGAAUGGAAAACGAAAGGGAAGGGAUUCGUGAAUAUAUUUACUUAUGUAAUUGAUUAAAAGUCACGGGGGUUUAAUUUCAUGUUUAUUUACUAGGAACAAUCUCCAUUGAAUGUCUGCAUUAGUUUGGUUGCACCUAAGAAAGUUACCUUCGAGAAUAACCCAAGCUUUGUGAUUGGAGAUCUCACGAAAAAUAUUAGAUGUGGUAGAAACAAUUCGUACUGUGUGACUUGUGAUAGCACUAUUUCAUUUGUACUCAUUUCUAUAGUGAUAUAGUGCUAAUAAAUAUGUUAAGUAG